ensembl:snRNA U2 U2 spliceosomal RNA
AUGGAAUUUUGAAUAAAGAGAUCUUGGAAAAAAAAAAAAAAUAAAAAAAAAAUCUGUUCUUAUCAGUUUAAUAUCUGAUACGUCCCCUACCCGGGGACCAUAUAUUAAAUUGAUUUUUGGAACAGGGAGAUGGAAUAGGGGCUUGCUCCGUCCACUCCACGCAUCGACCUGGUAUUGCAGUACCUCCAGGAACGGUGCACUCCCC